GUCAGAAUGGCCGAGCGGUCUAAGGCGCCAGACUCAAGGUUGUGCACUUUCUCCAAAACAGAGAGAUUUCUGGUCUCCGAAUGGAGGCGUGGGUUCAAAUCCCACUUCUGACA
rfam:Astyanax mexicanus chromosome 4, whole genome shotgun sequence.